GUGUCAAGUAAAAGGUGGUUUUCUAUUCAGUUUAUCAAGUAAGUUGCAUGCGAGUGGUUGCGUUCAAAGUUCGUAAUAAUAUGGCACCGAAAAAGAAGCUACUUUCUAUUAAAGAGAAAAUGCAAGUUAUUAAUGUUUUCGAAAAAGAAAAGUUAUCAGUACGUGGAAUUGCAAAAAGGUUCAAUAUUGGCAAAACGUAAGCUGCUGAAAUUAAUAAAAAUAAAGAGAAAAUUCGUUCUAAAUGGGAGUCUGGAUCUAAUAUUCACCAAAAGCGAAGUUUCCUUAAAGAAGGCGGCUCGGAAAUAGACAGGAUGUGUUUUCAUUGGUUCGCUAAGCCUAGAAGUCAAAAAAUUCCGAUUUCUGGUCCCAUUUUGAAAGCAAAGGUAAUGGAAAUGGAAAACUUGGUGUACCUAAUUUUAAAGCUUCGGAUGGAUGGCUAAAUAAAUGGCGAUUGAGGAAUAAUGUUUCCUUCAAAUGCAUAUCUGGUGAAGCUGCAGAUGUGAAUCAGGAUGAUGUCGCUUUUAAAUCUGAAAAAUGUAUGGGAGGUAAGCUAUCAAAGGAAAGACUCACAAUUUUGUUCUGUGCUAAUAUGGCUGGAGAUAAGGAGCCGCUUUUGGUCAUAGGGAAAGCAGCCCGUCCUCGAUCCUUUAAACAUGUUCCAAUUGCAAAACUUUCAGUGGAUUGGAAGUCUAAUAAAGAAGCAUGGAUGACUCACGAAGUGAUGAGCGAAUGGCUGCAGCAGUUCAAUCGAAAAAUAAUCUUGUUUCUAGAUAACGCGGCUUCUCAUCCAAAGGAAUUAGACUUGACCAACAUAAAAAUUUGUUUCUUGCCACCAAAUACAACGGCAGUUAGACAACCCCUUGAUCAAGGUAUAAUCCAAAAUUUUAAAACUUUGUAUAGAAGUUAGUUUAGUUUUAAAACACUUGAUAACUAAAAUUGGCGAUACAAGUUCUGCCUCAGAGCUCUCAAAAUCGAUUAAUGUACUGGAAGCUGUGUAUUUUAUCAAAGCAUCUUGGGAUAAAGUGGAAGCCACAACAAUCCGAAACUGUAAUACUAAAGUAUUUAAAUAUUCUUUACUAUGAAAAAUUUCUUAAAUAAACUACAAUGAAUUUUA